GACAGAGGAGGGAAGCGUUAUCCGGAAUUAUUGGGCGUAAAGCGUCCGUAGGUGGUUUGACAAGUCUGGGGUUAAAGCCCGGAGCUCAACUCCGGAUCGGCCCUGGAAACUGUCAGACUUGAGUAAGGUAGGGGUUGCGGGAAUUCCCGGUGUAGCGGGGAAAUGCGUAGAUAUCGGGAAGAACACCAGCGGCGAAAGCGCGCAACUGGGCCAUUACUGACACUGAGGGACGAAAGCUAAGGGAGCGAAUGGG
rnacentral:rRNA from 1 species